rfam:Triticum urartu cultivar G1812 contig804825, whole genome shotgun sequence.
AAAGUACUCCCUCCGUCCCAAACUUUUUUUCUUUGAAUUUUUUACAUACGGAUGUAUCAAGUCACAUUUUAGUAUUAUGUCUAGAUAUGGAUGUAUCAAGUCACAUUUUAGUAUUAGAUACAUCCGUAUCUAGACAAAUCUAAGACAAUAAAUUUGGGACAGAGGGAGUAGUUG